rnacentral:lncRNA from 1 species
CUAACUUCCCUGGAAAGUUGCAUAUCGUGGGGGCUAUUCGGUGCUAAUGCAGUACGCCACGGGAUGUUUUUGUGCUGGUCAAGGGCAGUUAUUUCUGGAGUGAGCCAAGGGCUAUAUCUGUUCCUGGUUAAAAAGAAAUUCAGUGGGGCAUGCUUAUUUAAGAUGGUGAGGAAAGCACUUUUAAAGAAUCACCAGGCAUCCUCUACUGACGGAAUGAGGUCAAUAUCCUUCCAGGAUACCCGGGCCAGGUCGAUUAGAAAGACCUGCUCGCUGAAGUUUUUUAGGGAGCGUUUGACAGUGAUGGGGGUGGUCGUUUGACCGCAGACCCGUUACUGACGCAGGCAAUGAGGCAGAGAUCACUGAGAUCCUGGUUGAAAGCAGCAGAGGUGUAUUUAGAGGGCAGGUUGGUCAGGAUGAUAUCUAUGAGGGUGCCUGUAUUUACAGAUUUGGGGUUGUACCUGGUAGGUUCAUUGAUCAUUUGUGUGAGAUUGAAGGCAUCUAGCUAAGAUUGUAGGAUGGACGGGGUGUUAAGCAUGUCCCAGUUAUGGGUCACCUAACAGUAUGAGCUCUGAAUACAGAAGGGGGGCAAUCAAUUCACAUAUGGUGUCCAGGGCACAGCUGGGGGCAGAAGGUGCUCUAUAACAAGCAGCAACGGUGAGAGACUUGUUUCUGGAGAGGUGGAUUUUUAGAAGUAGAAGCUCUAAUUGUUUGGACACAGACCUGGAUAGUAUGACAGAUCUCUGCAGGCUAUCUCUGUAGUAGAUUGCAACUCCGCCCCCUUUGGCAGUUCUAUCUUGUCGGGAAAUGUUAUAGUUAGGGAUGGAAAUUUCAUGAUUUUUGGUGGCCUUCUGAAGCCAGGAUUCAGACACGGCUAGGACAUCCGGGUUGGCAGAGUGUGCUAAAGCAGUGAGUAAAACAAACUUUGGGAGGAGGCUUCUAAUGUUAACAUGCAUGAAACCAAGGCUUUUACGGUUACAGAAGUCAACAAAUGAGGGUACGGCUAAAGGCUAUAAGAACUGGUUGUCUAGUGCGUUCGGAACAGAGUAAAACUAACAGGUUUCUGGGCGCGGAAGAAUAGAUUCAAGGCAUAAUGUACAGACAAGGGUAUGGUAGGAUGUGAAUACAGUGGAGGUGGGAGGUGAAACAGAAGGGCUCGCUAAGGCAUAUUGAGCAGGGCUGGAGGCUCUACAGUGAAAUAAGACAAUAAUCAUUAACCAAAACAGCAAUGGACAAGCGAUAUUGACAUUAGGGAGAGGCGUAGCCGAGUGAUCAUAGGGACCACUGGGAAGCAUAGGGGGACGUCGCGACGGAAAAAGUCUGUUGUAACCCUCUCGGACGGUUAAUUCAGCAGACCAGACGUGUUUGAUUGGCAGGGCUCCGUGUAGGCGGUAAAAGGGUCCAGGCCAAUUGGCAAAAUAGGUAUUGUAGCCCAAGGAGUGGCUGAUGGACCUCUUCAGCUAGCCGGGAGAUGGGCCUAGCACGAGGCUAGCUCCAGGCUCACUGGUGCUUGCUUCGGGACAGAGACGUUAGCUAGGGGGUAGCCACUCAGAUAGCAGGUAGCUAGCUGCGAUGAUCCAGGUGAAAAGGUUCAGGGCUUACGGUAAGAAACCGGAGAUGUGGAGAAAAAGCAGUCCGGUAUGCUCUGGGUUGAAUCGCGCUGGGCAUACUGGCAGGAGUUGACCAGGCUAAGGUUAGUUGAUGACCGCUAGCAGUGGCUAACUGACUACUAGCUAGUAGCUAGUUAGCUGGCUAGCUUCUGUUGGGAGUUCUGGUUCUAAAGUAUAAAAAAUUGCAGAUCCAUACCGCAUUGGGUGAGGCGGGUUGCAGGAGAACAUUUUGAAACUUGAGGUUAAAAAAUAUAAAAAAUAUAUGUGAAAUAUAUACGAAGGAAAAAAAGAUAUAUACACAGGACACGACAAGACAAAGACGUCUGAACUGAGACAGGAUUGUGUCGAACAUUUCUGCAGCAUUGAAAGUCCCCAAGAACACAGCUGCCUCUAUCAUUCUUACAGGGCAUUCAAAAAGUAUUCAGACCCCUUGACUUUUUCCAGAUUUUGUUAUUUUACAGCCUUGUUCUUAAAUGGAUUAAAGUGUUUUUUCCCUCAUCAAUCUACAAGCAAUAGCUCAUAAUGACAAAGCAAAAAACAUUUUUUGCAAAUUUAUAUACAUUUAUAUAAAAAAACUGAAAUAUCACAUUUACAUAGGUAUUCAGGCCCUUUAGUCAGUACUUUGUUGAAGCACCUUUGGCAGUGAUUACAGCCUUGAGUCUUCUUGGGUAUGACCCUACAAUCUUCUCUGCAGAUCUUCUCUGCAGAUUCUCUCAAGCUCUGUCAAAUUGUAUGGGGAGUGUCGCUGCGCAGCUAUUUUACAGGUCUCUCCAGAGAUGUUCGAUCGGGUUCAAGUCCGGGCUCUGGCUGGGUCACUCGAGGACAUUCAGAGACUUGCCCCGAAGCCACUCCUGCGUUAUCUUGGCUGUGUGCUUAGGGUGGCUUUCCUGUUGGAAAGUGAACCUUCGCCCCUGUCUGAGGUCCUGAGCGCUCUGGAGCAGGUUUUCAUGAAGGAUCUCUCUCUCCAGUCCCUGCCACUGAAAAACAUCCCCACAACAUGAUGCUGCCACCAACAUGCUUCACCAUAAGGAUGGUGCCAGGUUUCCUCUAGACGUGACGCUUGGCAUUCAGACAAAAGAGUUCAAUCUUGGUUUAUCAGAACAGAGAAUCUUAUUUCUCAUGGUCUGACACUUUUAGGUGCCUUUUGACAAACUCCAAGCGGGCUGUCAUGUGCCUUUUACUGAGGAGUGACUUCCGUCUGGCCACUUAACCAUAAAGGCUUGAUUGAGGUGCUGCAGAGAUGGUUGUCCUGUGAUAGGUCUCACAAGCUCACAGUACAGGACUGUAGAGUGCUGAAGCGCGUAUGUUUUUUAAAUUGUCUGUCGUCAGUUGCAACACUCACUACUAAGUUCUAAACUGCCUGUGGAAGCAACGUCAACGUCAACUCUUCGUCGGGAGCUUCAUGUAAUGGGUUUCCAUGGCUGAGCAGCCGCACACAAGCCUAAGAUCACCAUGCGCACUGCCAAGGGUUGGCUGGAGUGGUGUAAAGCUCGCCGCUAUUGGAGUCUGGAGCAGUGGAAACGCUUCUCUUGAGUGAGGAAUCACACUUAAAAAUCUGACAGCCCUUCGGAUGAAUCUGGGUUUGGCGGAUGCCAGGAGAACGCUACCUGCUCAAAUUCAUAGUGCCAACUAUAAAGUUUAGUGCAGGAGGAAUAAUGGUCUGUGGCUGUUUUUCAUGGCUAGGCCCCUUAGUUCCAGUGAAGGGAAAUCUUAACUCUACAGCAUUCAAUGACAUUGUAGACGAUUCUGUGCUUCCAACUUUGUGGCAACAGUUUGGGAAGGCCCUUUCCUGUUUCAGCAUGACAGUGCCCCCGUGCACAAAGCGAGGUCCAUACUGAAAUGGUUUGUCGAAAUCGGUGUGGAAGAACUUGACUGGCCUGCACAGAGCCCAUGAUCUCAACCCCAUCAAACACCUUUGGGAUGAAUUGUAACGCAGACUGCAAGCCAGGCCUAACGCUUCGAACACACCGACUGCGUCAUUGCAUCACUGCUACGUAACAUUUUGCGCAGCUAGGCAACUAUACUGAUGCAGGUACCUUUUGCAGAUGGUCGCAUGCGGUUGUACACAUGGAAGAGAAUCAUUUUCACAGUAUCCUCAAAACCGUGUCUUUUUGACACAACUGCUGACAGCUACAGGGACAUAAACACAAAAUAUGCUGCUUGGAGACAAGUGUCCACGAUAGUAGGAUUGCCAGGUCAGCUUAGUAGUGAGCAUGUGCUAGAUGUGGCUAGUUAGCUAGCUAGCUAACCUAGCUUGCUAACCUAGCCAAUGAGGUGUGUGUGUGUGUGUGUGUGUGUGUGUGUGUGUGUGUGUGUGUGUGUGUGUGUGUGUGUGUGUGUGUGUGUGUGUGUGUGUGUGAAAGAAAGAAAGAAAUAGUCAAAUAAAUUAUGCUAGUUACUACCCCUGAUAACUUGAUCAAAUAAUCAUGUUUGAAAGAGUGUGAGUAUGUAUGUCAUAAAUAGUCAUAGAAAUGGAAGAUACUACUGUACCCCUGAUAAUUUGGUCAGAUAACCGUGUGUGUGUCUAUGUGUACAGUAGGUGACAUGUCCAUGAUAGCUAUCUAAUAACUAUAGGUAUGCUAGGUAAUGGUUUGGCUUAUCAUGUCUAUGUAGAAGAAGACUGUAGGAGGAAGUGGAGAGGACUCAGGGACAGGUAUCAGAGAGAGAGAAGGGCAGAGAAAGAGAAGAAGAGGUCUGGGUCAGCAGCUUCAGGCCAGCAGCCUUGGCGCUUCUGCCACAUUCUUUCUUUUCUGGAUCCAUUUAUUGUGCCUAGGGCAACGAGUGGCAAUUUUACAGCCAGACCCUCUACUACGUCAUCCACAAGUGUUGUCGCCACCGGUGCAUCAAGACCCUCAAUGUCACCUACAAGUGCGACCAUCGCCUCCACCGGUGCAGCGAGACCCUCUACAAUGUCUACAUCAUCCACAAGUAUGACCACCAUCGGUGCAGCCAUGGAAGACGAUGAAAUGGAGGAAGCACCUCUGGAUCUAGGACCACCUGAGAUUAUUAUGAACCUCACGGAAGUGACCACUGAGGACCUCGUUGAACAGGAUGUGGCCGUGGAGACAGAGAGAGAAACGAAGAGGAACAACGUCACACCAGGCGUCAUCGAAGGUUCCAGCCCCCAGAUCCACUCAACUCAUUUCAGCAGAGGCUCCUCCAAGCCGUCGAGAGGGAUGCAGCCCAAGCUGAUGCUCACAGGAAGGAGGAUGAAGAGACCCUCUUUGCCAUGAGCCUGGUGCCAACCCUGAAGAGGCUGCCUCAGCAAAGAAAAGCAGCAGUCAAAGUUAAAAUGUAUCAGCUGCUUUUCGAAGCCGAGUUCAAUGGUACGUUUUUUUUCUUCUUCACAUCACAGGUAGUGUCAUAAGUGUUGCGACAGUGAAGUAGGUAAUUCUUUACAGUAUACUCAUGUAGGCUAAUUGGUAUUUCAGAUCAAAGUAUUAAUAUGAGGCAAAUGUACAGCUGUUGUUUCUAGGUUAGAAAAUAUCCCAAAACAACAGUUUACUGUCUAAAUAUUUUCCUGUCAUAUUCAUCUUUAUCUCUGAAAUACAAAUUCCAUGAGUAAACAGCAAGUAUUACCAACUUUACUGCACUGUUCCAAUAUUUAUGCCUCUAACUACACUAUACAAGCAGUAUUUAGUUAACAUAAAUCUCACCUUUUAUGGUUUUCUUUUAUGUUAAGCUUGUAUGUGUUGUUUUUCUCUUCCCUUCCAGAGAUGGAGUCCAUUUAGCCGACCAGCUCACAGGAAGGACAGGAAGAGGAGAGGAGUUGUCUGGUUGUUGUUUUUGACCUCCCUCAUUGUACCUUUCUUUUCACACACGUCCGUUCCGUUUAAAUUCAGUCAAUUCAUAAAGUCAUUUGUUUAUAAAGUCUCGGGAUAGCAUUCAUUAUUAGUGUUACAUAGAUUUCUGAAUUGACAGAAUUGAAACUCUGUUAUAGGAAUUUUAUACCUUGAUGAUAAUAAUCAAUAAUCAAUUCGCCUUGACUAAUGCCCAAGGUUUGUAAGACAAUGGGUUAAAAUAAUUAAGCAAGGACUCAGCUUUCUGCAAAAGGUUUCUGUAGCUUUAUUCAGAGAACGUUCUGCCGUCAGGAUAACAAAACAGUCAUUAUAUAGUUCUUGCUUACUUACGCACAUGCAUUUACACACAAUCUGUUGGUGACCUGCAACCCCCAUAAACUUCUCACACUGUUUGUCACCUUCUGGCUCUUAUCAAACUCAUACACCGAAUAAUUCACAGAUGCUCUUUUUUAAAUGUUUACACGCACACACACCUCUUUCAAUAGUUGUAUUUUUUUUAAACAUUUUUUACAACACACAUACCUGUCAUGUUCUUUCCUGUACUUGAAUACUUAUUAAAUUAUGUUUUCAUAGUCAGUUGUUUCAUUUGUUUAUUAAUAUCUCAUUUAGACUUAAUCUGCUAAUUUCUUCCCUACACCUUCGCAGAUCUAAGACAAGAUGAAAGUAAAAACACAUUCUCUUCCUAAUUCAUUUUUUUCCCACCUGUAUUUUGUCAGGCCAGUGAACAUGGUGGUAAACUGUACUAUUUGUAUGGACCCUAGGUUACCCUUUCC